rnacentral:rRNA from 1 species
GAUCCAGACUCCUACGGGAGGCAGCAGUGGGGGAUAUUGCACAAUGGGGGGAACCCUGAUGCAGCGACGCCGCGUGGGUGAAGGAGUAUUUCGGUAUGUAAAGCCCUAUCGGCAGGGAAGAAGCAAGACGGUACCUGACUAAGAAGCCCCGGCUAACUACGUGCCAGCAGCCGCGGUAAUACGUAGGGGGCGAGCGUUAUCCGGAUUCACUGGGUGUAAAGGGAGCGUAGACGGCCAAGCAAGCCAGGGGUGAAAGCCCGGGGCCCAACCCCGGGACUGCCCUUGGAACUGCUUGGCUGGAGUGCGGGAGGGGCAGGCGGAAUUCCUGGUGUAGCGGCGAAAUGCGUAGAUAUCAGGAGGAACACCGGCGGCGAAGGCGGCCUGCUGGACCGUGACUGACGUUGAGGCUCGAGAGCGUGGGGAGCAAACAGGAUUAGAUACCCGGGUAA